UCAGAGGGUCGGGUGGCCGCUCCCGCUUCGGCGGGGGAGGAAAGUCCGGGCUCCACGGGAACACGGCGCCGGGUAACGCCCGGCGGAGGUGACUCCAGGGAAAGUGCCACAGAAAGCAAACCGCCUGCGCCAUGUUCGCAUGGGGGAGGUAAGGGUGAAAGGGUGCGGUAAGAGCGCACCGCGCUGCCGGUAACGGCAGUGGCAGGGUAAACCCCGCCGGGAGCAAGACCAAAUAGAGACGGCAUAUGGCCCUGUUUCCGGGUCGUCGUCCGGGUAGGUUGCACGAGGUGUUCGGUAACGGGCAUCCCAGAUGAAUGGUCACCGCCAUUUCUUCGGAAAUGUGUACAAAACCCGGCUUACAGACCCUCUGACCGC
rnacentral:RNase_P_RNA from 1 species